rnacentral:rRNA from 1 species
GGAGAAAUCCUGAAGCAGCAACGCCGCGUGGAGGAUGAAGGGUCUAUGACUUGUAAACUCCUGUAAAGAAGGAAAAAAUUCCCAUUUGAUGGGAGAUGAUGGUACUUCUGGAGUAAGCCCCGGCUAACUACGUGCCAGCAGCCGCGGUAAUACGUAGGGGGCAAGCGUUGUCCGGAUUUACUGGGUGUAAAGGGUGCUCAGGCGGAUUUGUAAGUCAGAGGUGAAAUCUUACAGCUUAACUGUGAAACUGCCUUUGAUACUGCAAGCCUAGAGUAUGGAAGAGAGUGAUGGAAUAUCUGGUGUAGCAGUGAAAUGCGUAGAUAUCAGAUAGAACACCAAUGGCGAAGGCAGUCACUUGGUCCAUUACUGACGCUAAAGCACGAAAGCGUGGGUAGCAAACA